rnacentral:rRNA from 1 species
CCAUUGCGCCACAACGUCGCUGAAGCACCUGAAAAAAAAAUAAACAGAGUAGUUAUUGUGAGACGGCUCAACAUGGUGCGGCGAAAGACGUGCGAUGGUCGUCUAGUGGUUAGGACAUUCGCCUCACACGCGAGAGAUCGCGGGUUCAAUCCCCGCCCGUCGUACCCUUUUCCCAGCCGCAUCGCCGCUACACCCCCAGCGGCCAUCACGUUCCGUCGCACUCUCGAGUACGACCACACUUGAGUGAAAACACCAUAUCCCGUCCGAUUUGUGAAGUUAAGCACUCACAGGCUCAGUUAGUAC